CUUCUUGAAGAUGACCCUUGAAAGGACUAGAUUGGCGGAGCCGGGCAACCGGCUACGUCGGUAGACGAUCGGGUGGAAUAAGCAUUUCGGACCCGGGGGCAGUACCCCGGCGCCUCCACCAGCAGCGGCGGGACGCGAGCGGGGUUCCGCCGUUGCUGAUGGGGCGAAACAGGAUCGACGAGUGCGGUAAAGGCCCGGUUGCCGAUCGGUAUGAGACCACCGCAACGGCUCAUUUCACAAGUGCCAACGAUAACGAGGCGCUCGCAAUUGCUGCGUAACUGACGGCCUAACGGUCUGAAGUUACAAUGACAAAAGCGCGGUCGGACCCCACCGGGCAACAGAAGGGGAUUCCA
rnacentral:tmRNA from 1 species